AGCAUGGGUGUAGUUUAAUUUAAAUACUAGUUUUAUGGUAAAAUUACUAAAAGUAUUAUGUUUAUGCAGUAAAAAUAAGCGAGUUUCAUAGCAUCAAAUUAAUAGUAUAAUAUUUCAAGUCAACAAAAUGUCACAGAUUUAAACCAACGUAACCAGAUCAUUUUAAACCAACUAGCGGUUGAAGAUUGUCCCAAAGCGCUUUCCGUACAUUCAAUCUCGCACAUGAUGCACGAGAAGAUAAUAGCAUUUUCCACCUGUCCUUGGGCAACUUUUGAAUCCAUUAUCAUCCAUAAACUAUUUGCUCUUUAUUAAAUAAGUGCUGCUGUCUGUCUGUUAUGCCUGAGGAAGAAAGGAAAGCACUGAUAUUGGAGGUGAAAAAGAAGAACAACCAACAGCUAAUCAAAAGUAAAAUGGAAAGAACCUUUGCCUAUAGAAGACAGGAAGUUGUUAAAGAUAUGCCCUUCAUAGCAGAGUUCAAAAACAGAUGGCCAGCCCUGUUUUCUGAGAGCCAGGUAAAUGCAGAAUUCACCCUCAUCACCACAGCCCCCCUGUUCUCAACCUUUAUGUCCCGACUGGAUCAUUACUCCAACCAGCCAUUGAGGGUAUUCAAAAAGAAGGGGGGAACAGCAAGACGCGAUAUCGACGUAAUCAUUGCGGAAAUGGACAAGAAUCCCAGUGUUGAAGUACGACGGACUGAAAUGAAAAGCCUGGCAGCCUUAUUAAGGAGCACUGAGCACUGAGAUGAGAGAGGCUAUCGAGGAUAUUGGUAUUGAUGCAAUGACGGAAAUGGAGAAACUGGCUUUGGGUCUCUAUGUUGUUCGACAUGAUGGAGCAGAUGCUACAGAUCCACCUGAGGAUGUUGGCAUCGUCAUUGAAGGCUGCACAGUGCUGCGAGAUCUGAGAGAGGUUACAAAUGGAUGUGCAGUCCUGUUUGGCUUGAUCUACUGUUUAAACUUGAGCUAUCCCAUGGAGCUGCGAUACUUUCGAAUUUCUUCAGGAAGUGUUAAUGGAAAUGGAUGGAUGAGAACAAGCUCUCCACUAAAGUGCAGGUCCUCAAAAACAAACUGCAUGAGUAAAAUCACCUGCACCAGGCAAGACUGGACCUGGCCUUUUGUUGACUGCUGCUUUAUUUUUGGACUGCUGCUGGACAAGGUAAAGGUGUGAUCA